rnacentral:lncRNA from 1 species
ACCCUAGGUAUAGGUAAAGGAACCGGGUAACUUCAUGGGCAAGGGUAAAAUAAUCAUCCUUACUCUUCACAAGGGAAUCACUGAAGCGCAUUGAUGCAAAUAAUCAAGAAUUUAUCGCACAUGGACGAUCCCGACUAUACUGUCCUGGCAUGUCACCACCAUAACAACUCAGCCUCCUCGAUCUUGAUCUGAUGAAACGUACAC